CCUACGGGAGGCAGCAGUGGGGAAUUUUGGACAAUGGGCGCAAGCCUGAUCCAGCAAUGCCGCGUGCAGGAAGAAGGCCUUCGGGUUGUAAACUGCUUUUGUACGGAACGAAACGGUCUGGGUUAAUACCUCGGGCUAAUGACGGUACCGUAAGAAUAAGCCCCGGCU
rnacentral:rRNA from 1 species